rnacentral:rRNA from 1 species
UACGAAGGGGGCUAGCGUUGCUCGGAAUCACUGGGCGUAAAGCGCACGUAGGCGGAUUGUUAAGUCAGGGGUGAAAUCCUGGAGCUCAACUCCAGAACUGCCUUUGAUACUGGCGAUCUCGAGUCCGGGAGAGGUGAGUGGAACUGCGAGUGUAGAGGUGAAAUUCGUAGAUAUUCGCAAGAACACCAGUGGCGAAGGCGGCUCACUGGCCCGUAACUGACGCUGAGGUGCGAAAGCGUGGGGAGCAAACAGG